UCUCAAAUUACAGUUUCUUCUCAGUUAGUCUCACAUCUUCGAUACGGCCGUAGACAGGAGAAAGACACUUUUUAAUUCUGAAUUGAGCGGAAUUUUCUCGAUUAGGGUUCCGGAAAAGGUGAAUUUCCUUUAUCUGCUUGGUAUCGAUGAUUAAACAUGAAUUCUGGAAUUUACUGGUUUUGAGCAAUUGUUAGCUAGGAAGUGUGUCAACUGCGGAAAACUAAUCUUUUGGAAGAAAUUUUGUGGAUGCUAAUUGGCAGACCGUUUACAAGUGUUGGAAAAUGGUUUAGAUCUGAGACUGAGAGUUGAAUUUCUCAGCUCAAGAAGUUGAAACUAAGGUUGCUUUGCACAAUUGGUGUGUCAAAACUGACAACCAUUCUCUUUCAAGUCGCAUGACUUCUUCCUAUUCUGGAAACAUGUCCUAUAUAUAUCCUCUGCUGAUUGUUGGAAUCUUCCUUCAUUAGCAGUUAUCCAGAUAAUGUUCAAAGCUACACAAGGUGCAGCUUGCGAGGUGCACCGUCUUGAGUUCCACAUCAGAUCCAGACUCUCUGGUUCAUCAUCUGCAAUGGCUCGUUGGUUGCUUCAGAUCCUGAUCAUCUCUUCUCUUCAUCUGAUUUCUCUAUCAAGUCAACAAGAGACAAGCUUUGUCUAUGAAAGCUUCCUCGACCGACAAAAUCUUUAUCUUGACAAAUCUGCAAUAGUACUUCCCAGUGGUUUAUUGCAGCUUACGAAUGCUUCAGAGCACCAGAUGGGUCAUGCUUUCCACAAGAAACCAAUUGAGUUCAGUUCAUCUGGACCACUCUCUUUCUCAACACACUUUGUGUGUGCUCUGGUGCCUAAGCCACGUGUUGAAGGCGGCCAUGGUAUUGUCUUUGUAUUAUCUCCUUCUAUGGAUUUCACGCACGCAGAAUCAACUAGAUACUUGGGGAUUUUCAAUGCUUCAACAAGUGGAUCUUCCUCUUAUCACGUACUUGCUGUUGAGCUUGACACUAUUUGGAACCCAGAUUUCAAAGAUAUCGACCACAAUCAUGUGGGGAUUGAUGUGAACAGUCCUAUAUCUGUCGCAAUAGCUUCUGCAUCUUACUAUUCCGACAUGACAGGGAGUAACGAAAGCUUAAACCUUUUAAGCGGAAACCCUAUACAGGUCUGGGUGGAUUAUGAAGGCACUUUGCUCAAUGUGUCGAUUGCUCCUCUUGAAGUCCAGAAGCCAACUCGACCUCUUUUAUCACACCCCAUCAACCUUACAGAACUUUUUCCAAAUAGAUCAAGUCUGUUUGCUGGGUUCUCUGCAGCAACAGGGACAGCGAUCAGUGAUCAAUAUAUUCUCUGGUGGAGUUUUAGCACUGGCAGAGGAUCGCUGCAGCGACUUGAUAUCUCAAAACUUCCUCAAGUUCCUCAUCCUAGAGCUCCACAUAAGAAAGUAUCUACACUGAUUAUUCUCCUGCCCGUUUGUCUGGCUAUUUUGGUGCUGGCUGCUCUUGCAGGGCUUUAUUUCCGCAGGAGACGCAAGUAUGCAGAAGUAUCUGAAACAUGGGAAAAGGAGUUUGAUGCGCAUCGGUUCUCUUACAGGUCCUUGUUCAAAGCAACAAAGGGGUUCAGCAAAGAUGAAUUUCUGGGAAAAGGAGGUUUUGGAGAAGUUUUUAGAGGAAAUCUGCCACAAGGCAGAGAAAUAGCAGUGAAGAGAGUGUCCCAUAAUGGUGAUGAAGGUGUGAAGCAGUUUGUGGCUGAAGUCGUGAGCAUGAGAUGUCUGAAACACAGGAAUCUUGUACCACUGUUUGGGUAUUGCAGAAGAAAACGAGAACUUCUUCUUGUCUCAGAGUACAUGCCCAAUGGUAGUCUUGACGAGCAUUUGUUUGAUGACCAGAAACCGGUUCUUUCUUGGUCACAAAGACUUGUGGUUGUUAAGGGCAUAGCCUCUGCUCUCUGGUACCUGCAUACAGGUGCCGACCAAGUUGUCCUGCACCGAGAUGUCAAAGCUUCCAACAUUAUGUUAGACGCGGAGUUAAAUGGAAGGUUAGGGGAUUUUGGCAUGGCCAGGUUUCAUGAGCACGGAGGCAAUGCAGCUACAACAGCAGCUGUGGGAACUGUAGGGUACAUGGCGCCGGAGCUAAUCACAAUGGGAGCUUCCACUGGAACUGAUGUUUACGCAUUUGGUGUUUUCAUGCUUGAAGUAACCUGUGGGAGGAGGCCCGUGGAACCGCAGUUGCAAGUUGAGAAACGACAUAUGAUCAAAUGGGUUUGUGAGUGCUGGAAAAAGGAUUCUUUGCUUGAUGCUACUGACCCGCGAUUGGGAGGUGAAUUCAUAGCCGAGGAAGUCGAGAUGGUUAUGAAACUGGGUCUGCUCUGUUCAAAUAUAGUGCCAGAAUCCAGACCAACAAUGGAACAAGUGGUCCUUUACCUAAACAAAAACCUACCUUUGCCAGAUUUCUCUCCAUACACUUUGGGGAUUGGCACAUUUGCUCCUGUUCUGGUUGAUGCAUCCUCCCUUGUAGUCUCAUCUGCUUCAUGGAGUUGGUCAGGUCCCUCUAUGUCUUCUUCCUCGGCCAAUCACUCACCUUAUGCUUGUCAGUCAACAGAUCAGCCAUGGGGGCAGACAAUAGACACUAAGAACUCUCUUCACAUAAUUGCAGAACCAGAGAAGCCCUCACCGGCUGUCAAAACGGUCACAUUGCCUGCAGAAGAUCAUCAGUCCAAUAAUUCCAGCAUCGGCAGUCAGAGAUAAAUUCUCCUACACCUGUGGAGCGGAAAUAGCAAUUCGACAGAUUCUAGUCUAUUUCCAAGAUGAUUGUGUUUUUCCAUGAAGAGCUAGGUUAAUUAAUAUGCCAGCAAGAGACAAGGUUUGUCUAUGAAAACUUCCGCGGCCAAGAAAAUCUUUAUCUUGAUGGAUCUGCAAGAGUACUUCCCAGUGGAUUAUUGCAGCUUACAAAUGCUUUACAUCAUCAAAGGGCUCAUGUCUUCUAUUAGGAAUCAAUUGGGCUCAGUAACUCUAGACCACUCUCCUUCUCAACACAUUUUGUUUGCGCUCUGGUGCCUCAGCCUGGAGUUGAAGGCGGUCAUGGAAUGGCCUUUGUAGUAUCUCCUUCAAUGGAUUUCUCGCAUGCAGAAUCAACUAGAUACUUGGGGAUUUUCAACGUGUCAAAAAAUGGAUCUCCCUCUUCUCAUGUGCUUGCUGUUGAGCUUGACACUAUUUGGAACCCGGAUUUUGAAGAUAUCGACCACAAUCAUGUGGGGAUUGAUGUGAACAGUCCUCUGUCGGAUGGAAUAGCUUCGGCAUCUUACUUUUCCGACAUAAAGCGGAAGAACGAAAGCAUAAACCUCUUGAGUGGAAACCCAUUACAGGUUUGGGUUGAUUAUGAAGACAAUAUGCUCAAUGUUUCGAUGGCUCCUUGUGAAGUCCAGAAGCCAAGUCG